GGAGUGCAGAUGGUGCUCCUGGCUGGCUGAAGGGAACCGCAGAACCAAGGAUAGAGCAGUUGCUAGCAGUGACUAGGAGAGCAAGAGGGAGAUCCAGGCUGGCUGCUGGGACUUGCUGUAUGCCCUACAGUAAAGAUGUUCUGGAGACAGAUCGACCUGAACUGAACUCUCCUUCUGAUGCUGUGCUGUUGGCUUUGAGCUGAUUUGUAUCCUUAACAAUGAAAAAAAAAGAGAGAGCCAAAAAGCAGCAGUUUAAAAUGCAGAUCUGCAUCCCAAAUUAACAGAUGGGACGGUUGUGAUCUUGUAAUCAGUUCCCAAUUUGAGUAAAAGAAAGGGUGAUCAGAGCAAUUGUAAGGACCAAAUGAACCAUAAACACAAAACAAAAAACAGAGAAAAUAAGAAUAGCAGCCUGAAAAUAUUCAAGUGUCGUUAAGAAUAGAAACUGUCUCACUGAAAACUCCAGUUACUCCUUUUCAGAACCGACCCCCUCACUCCCAACUGCUGGGAGGGUGCUUGGUUACCCAGCUCCCAUUAACAGCAACGUCAGCCGCACAUCUAAUUCUCCAUGCACCGUUUUGAAAAAGUAGAGGACUGCCCCUCCCAGUUCUGCCAGGGGUGCCUGAUGCCCUAAAUGGCACCAGAGAAAGCAGAGAGAAGGCCAUGCUCUCCCACACCACUUCUGCAUCAGUCUGAAGAGCAGGAGCAGCACUCAGCAGGAGACAGCUGUAGCAGUAUACACAGUGGCGCUCUCUCUGCAUGAUGGAGUUCUCCCGGAGGGAACAGAACUC